rnacentral:tmRNA from 1 species
AAUAUUGAAUCUUUAAUUAUAGCUUUUAUAUUAAUCAUGUUGGUUUUCCAACUAUGACGAUAAACGAAUUUCGUAAUAAACAUUGCGGACGUGGGGGCAGUACCCACCACCUCCACCAUUUUCAACUUAUGGGGGUGAACCAGAAUCGACGGAUGUCUAAAGGCUGUUCUUUCGUUCGGAAUUGUUCCACCGUAACGGGCUAUUUAUAAUUGCAAAUAAUAAAUUUGCUCUUGCAGCUUAAUUAAUUAUUUUAAUUAAGUUACGGGGUUUUGGGGCACCUGGCAACAGAACGCCCCUUGA